GAACGAACGCUGGCGGCGUGGAUAAGACAUGCAAGUCGAGCGGGAACUUUUUUGGUAGCAAUACCGAAAAGUUCUAGCGGCGAACGGGUGCGUAACACGUGGACAAUCUGCCUUAAAGUGGGGGAUAGCUCGGCGAAAGCCGAAUUAAUACCGCAUGUGAUGAGAGACGACAUCGUCUUGAAAUCAAAGCCGGGGCAACCUGGCGCUUUUUGAGGAGUCCGCGGCCUAUCAGCUUGUUGGUGAGGUAACGGCUCACCAAGGCUAUGACGGGUAGCUGGUCUGAGAGGACGACCAGUCACACUGGAACUGAGACACGGUCCAGACACCUACGGGUGGCAGCAAGUCGAGAAUUUUUGACAAUGGGGAAACCCUGAUCGAGCGACGCCGCGUGGAGGAUGAAGGUCUUCGGGUU
rnacentral:rRNA from 1 species